rnacentral:ncRNA from 18 species
AUACAUUUGCGGCGUUUUGGUGUGAGCCUUUCCGGGCGGAAAGGUUCAUGAAAAGGGAAUCAGGUGAAAAUCCUGAACAGACCCGCUGCUGUAAGCUUCACCAAACUCUUUGAGCCAUGCGUUUUGCCACUGUUCCGACCGAACGGGAAGGCUGCUCCAAGGGGAAGCAAGUCAGAAGACCUGCCAAAUCAUACGUAGUUCUG